GUUAGAGAUUUCACUAAAUUCACA
rnacentral:snRNA from 1 species